rnacentral:rRNA from 1 species
AGCGAACGCUGGCGGCAGGCCUAACACAUGCAAGUCGAACGAAGUCUUCGGACUUAGUGGCGGACGGGUGAGUAACACGUGGGAACUUGCCUUUAGGUUCGGAAUAACUCAGGGAAACUUGUGCUAAUACCGAAUGUGCCCUUCGGGGGAAAGAUUUAUCGCCUUUAGAGCGGCCCGCGUCUGAUUAGCUAGUUGGUGAGGUAAAGGCUCACCAAGGCGACGAUCAGUAGCUGGUCUGAGAGGAUGAUCAGCCACAUUGGGACUGAGACACGGCCCAAACUCCUACGGAAGGCAGCAGUGGGGAAUCUUGCGCAAUGGGCGAAAGCCUGACGCAGCCAUGCCGCGUGAAUGAUGAAGGUCUUAGGAUUGUAAAGUUCUUUCACCGGGGACGAUAAUGACGGUACCCGGAGAAGAAGCCCCGGCUAACUUCGUGCCAGCCGCCGCCGUAA